rnacentral:sRNA from 1 species
AGAAGAAAGUUUCAUGGAAAGAUGGGACUGUAGACAAUGAG